rnacentral:rRNA from 1 species
AGAGUUUGAUCAUGGCUCAGGACGAACGCUGGCGGCGUGCCUAAUACAUGCAAGUCGAGCGAGCUUGCCUAGAUGAUUUUAGUGCUUGCACUAAAUGAAACUAGAUACAAGCGAGCGGCGGACGGGUGAGUAACACGUGGGUAACCUGCCCAAGAGACUGGGAUAACACCUGGAAACAGAUGCUAAUACCGGAUAACAACACUAGACGCAUGUCUAGAGUUUGAAAGAUGGUUCUGCUAUCACUCUUGGAUGGACCUGCGGUGCAUUAGCUAGUUGGUAAGGUAACGGCUUACCAAGGCAAUGAUGCAUAGCCGAGUUGAGAGACUGAUCGGCCACAUUGGGACUGAGACACGGCCCAAACUCCUACGGGAGGCAGCAGUAGGGAAUCUUCCACAAUGGACGAAAGUCUGAUGGAGCAACGCCGCGUGAGUGAAGAAGGGUUUCGGCUCGUAAAGCUCUGUUGGUAGUGAAGAAAGAUAGAGGUAGUAACUGGCCUUUAUUUGACGGUAAUUACUUAGAAAGUCACGGCUAACUACGUGCCAGCAGCCGCGGUAAUACGUAGGUGGCAAGCGUUGUCCGGAUCUAUUGGGCGUAAAGCGAGUGCAGGCGGUUCAAUAAGUCUGAUGUGAAAGCCUUCGGCUCAACCGGAGAAUUGCAUCAGAAACUGUUGAACUUGAGUGCAGAAGAGGAGAGUGGAACUCCAUGUGUAGCGGUGGAAUGCGUAGAUAUAUGGAAGAACACCAGUGGCGAAGGCGGCUCUCUGGUCUGCAACUGACGCUGAGGCUCGAAAGCAUGGGUAGCGAACAGGAUUAGAUACCCUGGUAGUCCAUGCCGUAAACGAUGAGUGCUAAGUGUUGGGAGGUUUCCGCCUCUCAGUGCUGCAGCU